rnacentral:rRNA from 1 species
UACGUAGGGUGCGAGCGUUAAUCGGAAUACUGGGCGUAAAGCGUGCGUAGACGGCUAUCUAAGUCGGGUGUGAAAGCCCCGGGCUCAACCUGGGAAUUGCAUCGAGACUGAAUAGCUAGGGUACGGUAGAGGGAAGCGGAAUUUCCGGUGUAGCGGUGAAAUGCGUAGAUAUCGGAAGGAACAUCAGUGGCGAAAGCGGCUCCUGGACCAGUACCGACGUAGGCACGAAAGCGUGGGGAGCAA